UCGGAUAUCAGCCAUGAUCCGGUGAAUACGUUCCCGGGCCUUGUACACACCGCCCGUCAAGCCAUGGAAGCUGGGGGUACCUGAAGUCGGUGACCGCAAGGAGCUGCCUAGGGUAAAACUGGUAACUGGGGCUAAGUCGUAACAAGGUAGCCGUACCGGAAGGUGCGGCUGGAACACCUCCUUUCUAGAG
rnacentral:rRNA from 1 species